rnacentral:sRNA from 1 species
GCCAGAUGUGGUGACGCAUGCCUGAAAUCCCAGCAGCUCAGGAGGCUGAGGCAGGAGGAUCACAAGUUCAAAGCCAGCCUCAGCAACAGUGAGGCCCUAAGCACUUUUCAGCGAGACCCUGUCUCUA